rnacentral:rRNA from 1 species
AUCAGAUAUCAUUUGAUAUGAUUGCCCACUGAAGCUAAGCAGGGUUGAGCUGGUCAGUACCUGGAUGGGAGACCUCCUGGGAAAACUAGGUUGCUGCUG